rnacentral:lncRNA from 13 species
CUGACUUCUGAGACUAUCACAGUUCAGGUGCAUUUAUACGGAGACUUGAUUACACACAGGUGGAUUGUAUUUAUCAUCAUUAGUCAUUUAGGUCAACAUUGGAUCAUUCAGAGAUCCUCACUGAACUUCUGGAGAGAGUUUACUGCACUGAAAGUAAAGGGGCUGAAUAAUUUUGCACGCCCAAUUUUUCAGUUUUUGAUUUGUUAAAAAAGUUUGAAAUAUCCAAUAAAUAUCGUUCCACUUCAUGAUUGUGUCCCACUUGUUGUUGAUUCUUCACAAAAAAAUACAGUUUUAUAUCUUUAUGUUUGAAGCCUGAAAUGUGGCAAAAGGUCGCAAAGUUCAAGGGGGCCGAAUACUUUCGCAAGGCACUGUACCUGCACCCAUGCGGACCCGACAGGUGUGCUGCAAGUCACCUGGCAGAGGCUGUUCAAAGACGACUCGGUGGAGAAUCUGGCCACCUACAGCAAGCGGUUUGGAGCUCAAAUCAUAGACCCGCACCGAGGCAAGGUGGUUUUCACGGAAGCAUCUCUCAACUCGACGUCUAUUACCGUGAAGAACGUAACAUGGGCAGACGAAGCCUGCUAUAUUUGUUCCUUCAAUGUUUACCCGAGUGGAUCAAGACGCAAGCAGACGUGUCUUACCGUUCAAGGUGUAUCUGAAGUGAGAGCCACAAUGCACAAAGUCCCCAGCACUGAACCUAAAGCAGACAUGGAAGUUGUGGUCAGCUGCUCUGCCACGGGUAAACCAGCACCUUGGAUCCAAUGGAACUUAUCUGCUGCAGCACUCAUAAAGACACCUAACAACUGGACUGUCAUUAACACAGACCAAACUGUCACAGCCAAUAGCAACAUCACCCUCCAACUGUUGCCAGGCUCCGGGGGAUACGUGGACUGUAUCGUAAACAAUGGGAUGAGGACACAGAGACACGAGCGGGUCCUGCUUCCUAUUCUCCCUGUAGAGAGGGAGGUUGACGAGGAUGACAAGAAGACAUCCCCGUGGGCGGUUGCCAUUCCAGUGUUCCUAAUCAUUUCCCUUUUAGUCAUCUUGGGCUGUGUCGAGCUUCAAAAGAAAAAAGGUUGCAGGCAAGCAGCGUUGGCAACCACAGCAGACGAGCAGGACCGUCUUAGGAGCAUUGUGUAAACAUCUGUCUGUUGUUGCUGCCCGUGCUUAUAUGCACUGUAGCUGACCGCUGUUUUUGUUGAGGACUGGAGCACCUGUUGUUACUGAGCCUGGAUGUUGAACCUUGUUGAAUCAUUCUUACACAGUCAUAAAUAAGCUAAUUAACACAUUUAUUUUACAAGCCAUGAUAUGGUUAAUGCUGUUUAGAGGUACUGAAAUGGCACUUUUAGGUUUGAGAGAUUGAUGACCUCUUGUAGGUGAGUGUUGUGAUAUGAGGUAGGUUUAGUUGUUGUCUGGCUACCCAAACUCCUUGCUCCAGCCAAAUGUUACGCCAAAGGACAUUAGUUUCUUCUUCGCAAUGAGUCUGGAUUUGAGUACAUCCCCAGCUUUUCACCAAAUGCCAAUACAUUCGGGGCCAUCUGAUUUGUCCGGUAACGAUGGGUUGAGUCAGAGCUAGAACACACGUGGGUUAAACAGGGGUUUGAAAAUUCAUUGGCUGUUACUUUGAUUGGUUAGAGACAAUCCAAUCGCUGGAGACAUUGUUUUGUACAACGCCCGUCGUGCCCCUCGUCACCACAAACAACUUCAAUAAUAACCCUACCCAUAUUCAGACUAAAGUAUGUAGUGAAGGACAAAGCAGUGGGAGAAUUUAGUUUGAGUCGUCAGGCUAGGUUACCUCAUCUAUUAGGACAGCACCACCUACUGUUUGACUGUACUUUAUUAUAACAUACAUCUAUUCUACUUGGUGUAUCUAUUUAUUUUAUGUUCUAAAUAACCUAGUAAUUUAUUUUAUUUCAACCCACUUCAAUAUGAUUGACCUUGUUGCACUUUUGUUCAAGUUAAGUUUACAGAGUAUUGUUAUUAUAAAUCUAUGGAACUACAGAUAGUUUUGUUGUUCUUCCUGUUAUACCAGUGUAAUGUGUGAAUGUAUUUGAGACCUUAGAAUGUAAAUUAUGAUAAUGCACAUUUUUGCUCUUUGAUAUAUCGUCUUGUUUGAGUUUCUAUUGUUAUUUAUUUUGAUAAUGUAUGUUGCUUGUUGUGUUCGAUUCCAUUUCCACCUGAUUUGACACUGUUUAUAAAAAUCAGGCUAUUAUUCUUGCUUGAUCUGUAAAAUGUUUUAGAUUGUUUAAUCAUUAAAAACAUUAUUUAUAUGGAUUGUGUUACCACCUGUGAUAUAAAACUAUAUGCUGUAUUUAAUUUAAAAAACUGCCCAUUGUCACCUUGUUUACAGUAACAUCACCAUUUAAAAUCAGGGGUAGGUUUUUAUAGCUCCUUGUUUACAGUAAUAUCACCAUUUAAAAUCAGGGGUAGGUUGUUAUAGCUCCUUGUUUACAGUAACAUCACCAUUUAAAAUCAGGGGUAGGUUGUUAUAGCUCCUUGUUUACAGUAAUAUCACCAUUUAAAAUCAGGGGUAGGUUGUUAUAGCUCCUUGUUUACAGUAAUAUCACCAUUUAAAAUCAGGGGUAGGUUGUUAUAGCUCCUUGUUUACAGUAAUAUCACCAUUUAAAAUCAGGGGUAGGUUGUUAUAGCUCCUCCUUGUUUACAGUAAUAUCACCAUUUAAAAUCAGGGGUAGGUUGUUAUAGCUCCUUGUUUACAGUAACAUCACCAUUUACAAUCAGGGGUAGGUUGUUAUAGCUCUGAGCCAGGCUCACUUGGCUAUGUGUGUGUAAUAUUUUAACUCCUUUCUGUUUUAUGUCUUGAGAAGAGUUCCUUUAACCUUCUCAACUAAAACUGGUAAAACAAUGGUUCUGACAUUGGCUUACACUGUUUCAAAAAAACAAGUCUCACCAGCUGAGUUUACUUUCAGCCUGGUGUAUGGGGAGGGGCCAUAUGUGAUCCAACCUCAUGUUGGUUGGACAGAGGAAAAUUCAAAUUCCCUCUCUUUACUAUAAGAGAACUGACAUUUUCACCAUAUCUCCUGCACACUACAGCUACCUGUUUAUUAUACUAAUAGUCUAGUCAUUUCUAAAGGUGAUCUAAUUAGUUUUAUGCAUGACAUACUGCAUUUGUCAGCAUUGUUUUCUGAAUGUACACAAUAUUGCUGAUACUGUUGCUUUUCUUCAUGAAAUGUAGUGCAUUUCUUGUCACGAUCGUCGUAUGAAGGAGACCAAGGCGCAGCGUGGUGUGCCUACAUUCUCUUUAUUAAAAUAAUGAACACCGAACAAACUAACAAACUAACAAACGAAACAUGAAGCUAUACAAUAUAGUGCUGACAGGUUAAGCAAAGCUACUACUAGUUAUUUCAAGUGUCUUUUUCAUGAAUUUCUACAUCAAGCCUGUGUAUUUUAUGAAUAUAUUCUGUAUUUAAAAUCAGGGGUAGGUUGUUAUAGCUCUGUGCCAGGCUCACUUGGCUAUGUGUGUGUAAUAUACACAUAGUCAAGAUCCCACACCAGAAAGUGGGGAAAAAGGGCUACCUAAAUAUGAUCACCAAUCAGAGACAAUGAUAAACAGCUGUCUCUGAUUGGGAACCAUAUCAGGCCAACAUAGAUAUACAAAACCCCUAGACCUACAAAAAACUAGAGUACCCACCCUAGACACACCCUGACCUAACCAAAAUAUAUAGAAAAACAGAGAUAUCUAAGGUCUGGGCGUGACAUUUUUACAGCAGUUCAAACCUGUAUUUCACUACAUUCGUGAUUUUAUUUAAAUAGGUAUAGGCUAUAUAUAGCUAUAGUCCACGUGUCAAACUCAUUCCACCGAGGGCCGAGUGUCUGCCGGACUUCGCUCCACCCUCGCACUUGAUUUAUGAAUGAAGGUCACUAAUUAGUAAGGAACUCGCCUCACUUGGUUGUCUAGGCCAUAAUUAAAACAAAAAACCUGCGGACACUCUAGCCCUCCAUGCAACCGAAAGGUUGCUAGAUCGAAUCCCCGAGCUGACAAUGUAAAAAUCUUUCGUUCUGCCCCUGAAUAAGGCCGUCAUUGUAAAUAAGAAUUUGUUCUUAACUGACUUGCCUAGUUAAAUAAAUAAAAAUAUGCUCCUGAAAAACAAUGAGGAGAUGGGAGAGGCUGGCCUUGCAGUGAGUCAAGCUAUGUGUAAAUUGACUGCAAACAAUUCGGAAUUUAACGGAUUAAUGUUUCUUAUAAAACAUUGAAUGUUAGCUAGAGACUGGUACUCAGGCUAGUCCAUUUUCCCCUUGACACAUGAAUAUCUUACAUGUCUUUCCCACACACACUUGGUUGUGCAUGCUGGCUGCACAUGUAUCAUAUACGUACGUACAAAUCAAAUCUGCUUGCUGUGUGGAGCCUAGUUCAGACGCCACCCUUAUCUUUUCACACUCAAUUUGCUGGGCCAAUCAAACGGCUGUAGGGAGAAACAUACUUCACAGCUACAUCUUUGAGCAAGCAAUGGUACUGACACACACACGAGAAAACCUUCAUAUGGGUUAAAUUAAUCUCACCAUUAGAUUCACUUAGCUUGAUGAUACAUAAUGUUAUUACCUCCAACCUUGCAACGGUGUUUUCCUGAUACUGUGUUCUCCGGUGUUUUCCUGAUACUGUUCUGUGUUUACUUUCACUUUCACUUUCAAUGGAGGAGGAGCUGUGGAGAGACUAGCAACUGUCAUUUUCUCUGUGGGAGGAGCUCACAACACAAAAUUGGCCAACAAGGUUUCUUGUUAGUUUUUGAACUAAAACAACAGAGCUUGUAUUUAAACUGUCCAACGGACUACGUUACCAUGCCUCCCACAAUGCCUCAUUUGAAAACGGUUUCUAGUAUGAAAUACUACUUUGCCACACAUUAUCCAGAGGUCCAUUUACAUCACCUUGCCUCACCUGGCCACACAUUGCUGCCAUGGCUCGUGUUAAAAGUUACCUUACUCUUCUGCUGCUAUUCCUUCCUGAGGGUGAGUUACAUCCGUGUUCAUAUGAAAUACAUUAUAGGUCUGUAGGUCUUAAAUGUAAGUUAUACAGUAUUAUCAAUUUCAGAGUUGCGUUUCAUUAUGAGAUGUAGAUAACUACACUACACUUAUAGGUGCAUUAUACAUAAGUUGUAACUGUAGCAGAUAGUCCUUAAAAUAAUACAUUGAAUUCAAUGAAAAGUAUUAUAUUUUGAACAUUAUUGAAGCUAACUGGUGAAUAGCCAGCCGGUCCAGUCACCAUUAGUAUACAAACAUCAGCAUCUUCCUGUUCUAUACUGUAAAACAUGCAACUUAUAAAAAGUCCAUGGAGCCUAAAUAUCCCAGUUUCCUGGACAUUUGAAUUGGGAGGAUUCUUUAGCUGACGUGGAAUACUUCACUGAGCCAAUGAUUUUUACUCAAUUUGAGAUUAAUCAAAAAACCUGAGUUUGCUGAAACUCUCAGCUUAAAAUACUGUCUUGGCUCAAAAUACAUGUGUCUUAUUAACAAAAAUUCUAGUAGUUUGCCUAAUUUCAGUUUAUGUGACAAAACCAUCCAUGCUUAGUGUAGAGAAUCAUUGUACCAUCUAAAACACUGUGAAAUAUAUUUUCCAAAACCAUCCAUGCUUAGUGUAGAGAAUCAUUGUACCAUCUAAAACACUGUGAAAUAUAUUUUCCAAAACCAUCCAUGCUUAGUGUAGAGAAUCAUUGUACCAUCUAAAACACUGUGAAAUAUAUUUUCCAAAACCAUCCAUGCUUAGUGUAGAGAAUCAUUGUACCAUCUAAAACACUGUGAAAUAUAUUUUCCAAAACCAUCCAUGCUUAGUGUAGAGAAUCAUUGUACCAUCUAAAACACUGUNNNNNNNNNNACCUGAUUUGACACUGUUUAUAAAAAUCAGGCUAUUAUUCUUGCUUGAUCUGUAAAAUGUUUUAGAUUGUUUAAUCAUUAAAAACAUUAUUUAUAUGGAUUGUGUUACCACCUGUGAUAUAAAACUAUAUGCUGUAUUUAAUUUAAAAAACUGCCCAUUGUCACCUUGUUUACAGUAACAUCACCAUUUAAAAUCAGGGGUAGGUUUUUAUAGCUCCUUGUUUACAGUAAUAUCACCAUUUAAAAUCAGGGGUAGGUUGUUAUAGCUCCUUGUUUACAG